rnacentral:tRNA from 1 species
GGCAGGGUGGCAGAGUGGCCGAUUGCGCCUCCCUGAUAAGGAGGUGAGCCUCUCACGAGGUUCCGAGGGUUCGAAUCCCUCCCCUAUUU